UACAGAGGUCUCAACCGUUGUUCGGAUUCAUUGGGCGUAAAGGGUGCGUAGGCGGUCGCGCAAGUCGGAUGUGAAAUCUCAGGGCUCAACCCUGAAACUGCAUUCGAUACUGCGUGGCUAGAGUGCUGGAGAGGAGACUGGAAUUUACGGUGUAGCAGUGAAAUGCGUAGAUAUCGUAAGGAAGACCAGUGGCGAAGGCGAGUCUCUGGACAGUUCCUGACACUGAGGCACGAAGGCCAGGGGAGCAAACGGG
rnacentral:rRNA from 1 species